CAAAUUCAGAGGUAACGGCACA
rnacentral:miRNA from 1 species